CCGCCCAUAACUCAGUUGGUAGAGUAACUGCCUCUUAAGCAGAUAGCCGCAGGUUCGAGUCCUGCUGGGCGGACCA
rnacentral:tRNA from 1 species